AAAAUUACCUGGCAGGGGAGAUACCAUGAUCACGAAGGUGGUUUUCCCAGGGCAAGGCUCAUCCACUGCACACUGGAUGUGCUGACCCCUGCGAUUUCUCCAAAUGUGGUAAAUUCGACUGCAUGAUUUGUGGUAGUGGGGGACAGUGUUUGUGCUUUUCCUUG
rnacentral:snRNA from 1 species